CACAUACAUUUUGUCGACUAUUCUUUUCCGUGAGUCAGGCCGCAAUUGAAUUCUCCAAUCACCCGUGUCCAUGACAGGUUCUCCGCCUGGGGCAGUGGGCCUCCAAUUAUUGGCAUCCAUGGGGUUUUGGCCAACCAAAAAAAAUCACUUCUAUCACCACAAAAAAAAAUAAUAAUUAUAUUGCACGUUAGAACAGACCCUAAAAAGAAAGUCAGGAACAGCAG